rnacentral:rRNA from 1 species
UACGGAGGGUGCAAGCGUUGUCCGGAUUUAUUGGGUUUAAAGGGUGCGUAGGCGGAUUUACAAGUCAGUGGUGAAAUCUCCCAGCUUAACUGGGAAACUGCCAUUGAAACUGUUUAUCUUGAGUACAUUUUGAGGCGGGCGGAAUGUAUCAUGUAGAGGUGAAAAUUCUUAGAUAUGACACAGAACACCAAUUGCGAAGGCAGCUCGCUAAACUGUAAACUGACGCUGAGGCACGAAAAGCGUGGGGGAUCAAACAGG